CCUGCCACCCCGGCGCCCGCCCGCGCCCCGUGCCCCGCGCCCCGCGCCGCAGGGAGCCCGGCGGCCGCAUUGGGAGCCCCGCGCUCGGCACCGGCAGCGCCAUGGGGGAGGGGCAGGGCGGGCCGCGAGAGACCCGGGAAACAUGGCUGCUCGUCCUAUUUCGGCGUCGCGGCGUGGCCACCAGCCCCCGGAUCAGAGUUGGGAGAGGCUCCGAAGAGGCUCCCGCGCCGGCGGAAUUCAAUCAAUAAACCCCGAACCCACGGCCGCGCGUUUUAGGACUUUGAAGGCUCAACCAGAUCCGCUCGGUUCUCGAGCCCCCAGCACCCGCGGCGCACACUAACCUGAUCACCGUGGAGGCGGGAUCUGCGGCCCCGAGGAUGAACGGCAGCAGCUUGAGCCAAUCGCCGCCGAGGGUCUCCGGGCAACAGCCAAUGGUGGCGGCGGCGGGGGGGGAAGGGACCAAUGGGCGGACUGCGCAGCCGGCCAGGGAGGCUCAGCCAUUUGGUUGUGGUGCCGGAGACGGACCCCUUUAGAUUUCGGGGCGGCUGAGGAGCGCGGCGGCUGCUCGCUGGCUGAGCGAGGGGGGUGGGCGGAAUGGCGGGGGAAGGGAAGGUGACUGUGCCUCGAGGGCCGAGCCGCCUGGCCUCACCAGCCCGCCGCCGCCUCAGCGUUUGGCCGGGGGCGGGGCCGCAGGUGCGUUCUACGAGGGGGAGGGGCGCGGCCGGAGGGGUCGGGUCGGGGUCCUCGCGGUGCCCCGGCCAUCGCGGGCCGCCCCGGGCCUGCGGAAAGAGGCGGGCGGCGUGAGGUCUAGGGGUCGCGGGCUGCUAGGCGGGCGGGCGGAUGAAAGGCCUGGAAAGCGGGGGAGGGGUCAAGGGUACCGUAGGGGAGGGGCUGGUCGUUCGUGGGUCCGGCGGACCGAGCCGGGGGAGCGCGGCUGCUGCCCCCCCUCUCCGCGGGCUCCCACCCCCGGGCUGCGGCCCCCUGCCCGCGCGCCCCUUCGCCGGCCCUCGUCUUAGGCCAGCCGCAGCCGUCCCCGCCCCUCGAAUAAAUGAGUAAAUAAAAGCAAGAUGCGUCCACCUUUGGAUGACUUACCUCGCGCGGUGGACCCUCUCCAUGGAGGGGCAUUUCAGUUUGCUGUCAUAUAAGGUCAGCUUGGAAGGAGUGAUCACCAAGAGGCACCCAGGGUCUCGUUUAGUCAACAAAUGAAUGAAGAUCGUGGGUUAAGAAUUGUUGCCGAAGAUAUUGAAUAUUAAAUAGCGGAAGAGGAAGGUGCUAAUAACUCCUGGUUUUCUGGACCAAACAUAAUUUAUGGGCUUUAUAGACCUAGUGAAAGAAAACGGCGCACCGUUUACUCUCAUCGUGCACCUGAGUCAUUUGGUUCAGUCUGGGUUGCCAAAGAGGCUCUAUUUGGAGCACUUUCUCCAGGUUUUACGGUUUGCUUGCUUUGGGUUUUUUUGCAUCACGUUAGUUGUAAGAGACCUUAAAGCCUUAAUUCCCACUGGUUACCAACUUCUUAUGGCCAGGCCUAGGACUUUGUGUACUAAGUUGGCUGCCCGUGGCUGUUUAUAAGUCAUGGGGAUUGUUGGCGACAAGGACAAAUACAUCUUUACCCUUCGCACACAACUGUCUUCAGUGCCUUUAGGUCUACCUGUCUACAGGCUUCCCCAUACACUCUACGGUAGUUUUUUCUUUUUUGGAUACAUUGUGGGGUUUUUUUUUCAGGGACGUGGGUUCAAGGGAGAGAUAAAACAAAUGUAUGUUGCAAAUGUGAAAUAUUGUUACAUGACACCAAUACAAUUUCAUUCUUGAGACAAAGUUUAGGAGGAAAUAAAAAGUGGCAAUGUAAAUAAAGCACACAUACAGAAUGCUUACACUGGAGGAGAAACUAGUACUAAACUUUGAUAUUGUAACCUGACGGAUUGCAAACAAAAUCCUGCAGCUAAACAUUUUACUAAGCAAAUUCUUCUUUCAGAUAAAAUAAUAAGUGGAAUUUGAAAGUGAUAAUGUUUACUCUGAGUAGCUGGAAAAUGCAAAAUAAAAAUGGGAAGUCAUUGUUUUAUUUCAUCUGGGUAUAAAUAGUAUGGAGUAGUAGUUUGACUUGUUGACUUAGCUGACGUAUUUGUCUUUCUCAGUUUUGUUAAUCUUAUUGAAGUCAACUUGUGUAGUUGGAAUUUAUUCUUUUUAAAAUUGUAUUGGCUUUGUUCUAAAAUAUAGAGGGACCCCAAAUUA